AGCCCAAACUACUACUUGUCGAAGGAGGUUCAUGGUAAACACGACCAAGCACUGGUGACUGGUAGGGCUUUGAUGAGAUUACUGGGACAGGCGCAGGGUUUGGCAAUAACGCUGCAUUAUUGUCUGUAGGUGGAGUGUAGUUCUGUUGCCAAUGCUGAAGUGGGAGGGUAUUAUGGUCACCUUUAGAACUCAGUGCCUCCUUUCUGUUCUUUCUCCGGUAACAAAUGAAGAAAAUGCCCAAACCAAUCAGCACAAUGAUUGCUCCCAACGCUAUUCCCACUAUUAGCCCCGCCAGAGCCCCCGGAGGCAGCCCCUUAGGCUUCGGUGGCAGUGAACCUGAAGGCGUCGAGCCAUUCGUAGAAUCCGAGGAUGGUGGAGGCUGAAAAGAAGUAGUCGAAGAGUUGGAGUUUGUCUCGGGUGGCGGAGGCGAAGCAGUCGAGUUGGUCUGAGAUGGUGGCGGCGGGGACGAGGUGGAGUUCGUGGCUGGAGGUGAGGCGGGAACAACGGGGGGCGAGUUGGGAACAGCGGGAGAGGUUUCCGGAGCUGGUGACGACAUCGCCGGAAAAGCUUCUGGCGAGAUAUUUUACCCUGCUAAUUAUUCAAAGGGAGAACGUAGAACGUAUGAAUCAAAUUUUUUUCAUUUUCACUUGGGUUGGUAGUAGCAGAGGAGCCGAUGGAAGACGAAUGAUCGCGUGGAACCCAGUUGCAUGACAGCUAAAGGCCUAACGUCGUCGGUUUACUUGGCUUACGCGGGGUGUUUCCAUUUCAAGGACAGUGACGUCGUUUCAAUGUUCUUGCUCUCUAGUCACUUUGGAAGCAACUGGACUGGUUAACGAAGAGAAAUAUCAUCACUAGGUCACUUUUGU
rnacentral:misc_RNA from 1 species